CACGUAGGGCGCAAGCGUUGUCCGGAAUUAUUGGGCGUAAAGAGCUCGUAGGCGGUCUGUUGCGUCCGCUGUGAAAACUCGGGGCUUAACCCCGAGCCUGCAGUGGAUACGGGCAGACUAGAGGUAGGUAGGGGAGAAUGGAAUUCCCGGUGUAGCGGUGAAAUGCGCAGAUAUCGGGAGGAACACCGGUGGCGAAGGCGGUCUCUGGGCCUUACCUGACGCUGAGGAGCGAAAGCGUGGGGAGCGAACAGG
rnacentral:rRNA from 1 species